AUGAACGCUGGCGGCGCGCCUAACACAUGCAAGUCGAACGGCACCCCUCUCCGGAGGGAAGCGAGUGGCGAACGGCUGAGUAACACGUGGAGAACCUGCCCCCUCCCCCGGGAUAGCCGCCCGAAAGGACGGGUAAUACCGGAUACCCCGGGGUGCCGCAUGGCACCCCGGCUAAAGCCCCGACGGGAGGGGAUGGCUCCGCGGCCCAUCAGGUAGACGGCGGGGUGACGGCCCACCGUGCCGACAACGGGUAGCCGGGUUGAGAGACCGACCGGCCAGAUUGGGACUGAGACACGGCCCAGACUCCUACGGGAGGCAGCAGUGGGGAAUCUUGCGCAAUGGGGGGAACCCUGACGCAGCGACGCCGCGUGCGGGACGGAGGCCUUCGGGUCGUAAACCGCUUUCAGCAGGGAAGAGUCAAGACUGUACCUGCAGAAGAAGCCCCGGCUAACUACGUGCCAGCAGCCGCGGUAAUACGUAGGGGGCGAGCGUUAUCCGGAUUCAUUGGGCGUAAAGCGCGCGUAGGCGGCCCGGCAGGCCGGGGGUCGAAGCGGGGGGCUCAACCCCCCGAAGCCCCCGGAACCUCCGCGGCUUGGGUCCGGUAGGGGAGGGUGGAACACCCGGUGUAGCGGUGGAAUGCGCAGAUAUCGGGUGGAACACCGGUGGCGAAGGCGGCCGUCUGGUCUGGAUUCUGACACUGAAGCACGAAAGCGUGGGGAGCAAAUAGGAUUAGAUACCCUAGUAGUCCACGCCGUAAACGAUGAGAACUAGGUGUUGGGGGAAUAACUCAGUGCCGCAGUUAACGCAGUAAGUUCUCCGCCUGGGGAGUAUGCACGCAAGUGUGAAACUCAAAGGAAUUGACGGGGGCCCGCACAAGCAGCGGAGCAUGUGGCUUAAUUCGAAGCAACGCGAAGAACCUUACCAGGGCUUGACAUAUACAGGAAUACUUGAGGAAACUUAAGUAGCUUUUCGGAGUCUGUAUACAGGUGGUGCAUGGUUGUCGUCAGCUCGUGUCGUGAGAUGUUGGGUUAAGUCCCGCAACGAGCGCAACCCCCGCCGCGUGUUGCCAUCGGGUGAUGCCGGGAACCCACGCGGGACCGCCGCCGUCAAGGCGGAGGAGGGCGGGGACGACGUCAAGUCAUCAUGCCCCUUAUGCCCUGGGCUGCACACGUGCUACAAUGGCCGGUACAGAGGGAUGCCACCCCGCGAGGGGGAGCGGAUCCCGGAAAGCCGGCCCCAGUUCGGAUUGGGGGCUGCAACCCGCCCCCAUGAAGUCGGAGUUGCUAGUAAUCGCGGAUCAGCAUGCCGCGGUGAAUGCGUUCCCGGGCCUUGUACACACCGCCCGUCACACCACCCGAGUCGUCUGCACCCGAAGUCGCCGGCCCAACCGUCAAGGGGGGAGGCGCCGAAGGUGUGGAGGGUGAGGGGGGUG
rnacentral:rRNA from 1 species